UAUUGCAGAAUGAAUAUAAAAGAGGAAUUAGUGGUUGGAACUUCAAUCUUGACGAUAUGAAGGCUCAAGCUUCCCUGAUCCAGGAUGCUGAUGAACCUGUACCUGAUAACAUUCCGAUGGGGACUUCCAAUUCUCUGUCUGCUCUUGAUGCACAACAAAAGCAAUCACAAUGUCAUAACUUAGACGCAGUUGCCGACACGGAAGACAAUGAUAUGAUUCGGAACCAACAAGCUACUCUUCCACUCGUUGACACAACUUUAUAUGAUGUCAAGUAUGUGAUCUGAG